rnacentral:lncRNA from 1 species
CUGCAGUUAUUGUUUUUCUCUUUUUCAUGAGCUAUGUGUUAACUAACUUUGACUUCCUCUCCCAUUCUUCUAGAGUGAAGACCACUUCUGGGCAAAAUUGUAAAGCAGAGGAAGGGAAGAAAAUGGAAGAAGCAAGAAGCAAGGAUUGAGAAGAACUGCCAUGUGCCAGAUCAGCCCCCCUUGAAGUAAGAAAUGUCAUCAGAAUCACAAGAACAGGAAAAUGAACAUCCUUCCAUUAGAAUCGCAGUCCGAAGACGACACUUCAGCAACUGUUACUGCAUUUGGCUUUGACCGGGUCAAAGGAAUUGAGCCCAUCCUCUCCUGCCUGACAAGUACCAUAUUAUCUGAAGCCCCAAAUACCCAGUGCUGGUAAGUAGACAAUCGCUUUAUCUUGUUUUUCUGUUCUUGUUUUUUCCUUUCCCCCCAAGGUUUUCCCUCUGAAAACUGCAUUUUACUGCGCUGAUACUGUAGCCUCUAAGCCAGGUAUGACUGAGACAAAAGACUAUUAAAUAAUUGUCAAUAAGUGUACUGAUUAUAGUCACCUUUAAGCUCUAGAAUAAGAAACAUAUUCCUUUGCUUAAGUAUAGGGACUUUCUAUACCUAUAUCUUUAUGAUGUUCAAAAAAAAACUCAAAAAAAGAAGUAGCAUUUUUACUGAACAAUAUGAUAAUCUCAACUUAGAAUUAAUAGAAUUAUAGUUUCUGUACCAACUUGAGAGCUGAAAAUAUAUUCAGGAAGUCAAAAUAUUCUUUAAACUCUCUUAUUUGAAUCAACAAACCUCAAGACUUUGGUAUUUAAAAUGAAAAUUUCUGAUAUAUCCCAACAAUAAUUCUCAUUUACAAAAAAAGCAUUAUCCUAGCACCGUUUCACUUGCUAUUGAAUCAUCACACUGAAACAGUAAUAAUAGAAAAGACAGGAUAAAAAGUCAUCUAUUCUUGUGAAUGCAAGUGACAGAACAUCUCCUACUUUGAUCUCUUGUGAUAUUCAAAUGUUAGCUGGGAGAGAGAAACCACAAAGGAGAGUUUGAUUUAUUUGGCUAAACUACAGUGAUUUGCAAGGCCUAUUUCAAACACACAGCAUCAACAUCAGCAGCAGCAACGUUCUACCUACAGACACGAGCUUGACCUUUGCCUUUGUAAAUGCCAAAGAUGGUAAAAAUCGACAGUCCUUCGAUUCUAGGAAUUUGAACUUUGAAAUCAAGGGUAGCUUCAGCUCUCAGUUUAAAUAAAUAUUAGGGAGAUGUACA